AGAACGCCCAGCCCAAACAGAUCUGUACCUUCUGCCUCAGCAACCAGAGAAAGUUGACAGCACGCGUGAGCUCCUGGGGCCUGAACAUCUGGGAAAUUUAAUUUUACAAUUUCGGCUGCGCAGCAGUGUACUCUCCUCCCCAAACUGCAUGGGGAAGCCGGGAGCAAGGACCGAGACAGAAAGACUACGAUUCGGAGCUAGAGGUGGACGCCGCUGGGCUAUCCACAGAGAGCCCCCGUGGACCUGACUCGGGCACAGGCCUCCUGUGAGGGCGCCCAGCAAGCCAGCCCUGCCUCCGGCUACAGUGGGGCCGACGGACAGACAAGUGUGCAGGAGUCUGCACUGGCCCAGCGGGCCCAGGCCCACCGGAACCUUCUGUGCUGGCUUCCUACCUGGGUUUUCUUCUGGUCACUACGUGCUGGCAUCUUGUGUCUCUGAUAUGAUAAUAUAAAGUCUGGAAACUUUGUAUAAUUAAAAACAAAACAGUAUCGUCCAA